UGCCCAGGGAGCUGAUGGGGGCUCCAGCCCUGCCUCUUGAACUGGUGCUAGUGCUUCUGUGGCAUCAGUGUGUGCUCACGAGUAGAAAAGCCCCUGGGUUUCUCUGGUGUGCUCUUUGUGGGGGGCCUGCGCUCCCCAUGUUCAGACUCACACCAAGGGGUAUUCGUCUGGCUCAUAAGGGAAAGUGACCUCCUGAUCCCAGCCGUGGCCAAAAAACAAACGGGAAUAGGCCCUGAGGCAGUCCCUCUGCGGGUGUUAGGCAAAGCACCUCACCCUCCUAUUUGCGGUUUAUUUAUAGAUAGCCUUAUUUGUUUGUAUUGUCAAGAAGUAAUAAUUCCUAGAUUGUUUCUUAAGUGUCUUGAGAAUAAAGUUCAGAUGCUGCCAAGUGUACACGUGACAGAUAAAUGAGAGUAUAACAGCAGAAUCCUCCUUUGUCUUGGAAAUCAUGUUGGUUUCCUGUUAAGAAAAUGAGAAGCAGAUGUUAAAAAACACAGCCAGUGGUGUGCAUGCUCAUGCUGCACGGGGACAGCCUGGGCUAUAAAAUGGUGACUGCUAGGGGGAAGAAGGGUGGGUUUUAAUUGUACUUUAUUUCACUUUUACAUUUCUUUUACUUUAUUUUUAAGAGCUGCCAUUCAGAUGUCUCUGGUAAACUGUGAUCUGUUACCUUCAGCUGGUUUGUGUGAUUGGGAUUACUAAUGAGGAUGCUUCCUUAGAUGAGCACAUUCAGUGCUACUGCAAAUACUGGGCUUUUCUGUCUUCACCAGGUACAACAUGUACAGACUGCUUUUUAAAACAGUAGGAAUUACUCCCUGGAAAUGAACAGUAGUUAAAAUGGAAGACAAGUAUAAUAACAAUCAGAGCCAACAAGUCUGCAAACAAAUGCUUUGGGUAUCUAAUAUCAGGCCAAUUUCAGUGGUGUUCGUUUGACUGUACUGCAUAAUCCAUCAUUACUGAACCAGAAAAGGCUGUUUAUCACUUCUAAUCGUUAUCAUCAAAAUACUCUGAACAACAGUAAGAAGCACUUCUACAAACCCUCUUCAGAGGAAAUGAUAGGGUAUUUUUCUGAACUAAGGGAA
ensembl:lncRNA